AUUUCCACGUGCUUGAUCAUGAAAAAGAAUCGGGACGUGUUGAAGAUAUAAUUAAGUAAAUAAAUGUGUACUCUCUCGAGAUAGUCACACACUUCAACACGGCUACCUACUCAGGCACUUGGUCGUAUUGCUCCUGUUUGUCUUCCAUAGUUUCUUAGAAGUCCCUAGUUACUCUUGUCAUUUUGAUCGUGUACCACUUCACAUUUUUUA
rnacentral:misc_RNA from 1 species